AGUGAACGCUGGCGGUAGGCCUAACACAUGCAAGUCGAACGGCAGCACAGUAAGAGCUUGCUCUUACGGGUGGCGAGUGGCGGACGGGUGAGGAAUACAUCGGCAUCUACUUUUUCGUGGGGGAUAACGUAGGGAAACUUACGCUAAUACCGCAUACGACCUACGGGUGAAAGCAGGGGAUCUUCGGACCUUGCGCGAUUGAAUGAGCCGAUGUCGGAUUAGCUAGUUGGCGGGGUAAAGGCCCACCAAGGCGACGAUCCGUAGCUGGUCUGAGAGGAUGAUCAGCCACACUGGAACUGAGACACGGUCCAGACUCCUACGGGAGGCAGCAGUGGGGAAUAUUGGACAAUGGGCGCAAGCCUGAUCCAGCCAUACCGCGUGGGUGAAGAAGGCCUUCGGGUUGUAAAGCCCUUUUGUUGGGAAAGAAAAGCAGCAGGUUAAUACCCCGCUGUUCUGACGGUACCCAAAGAAUAAGCACCGGCUAACUUCGCG
rnacentral:rRNA from 1 species